CAUAUCUUAGCUUAGAGGUUAAAGCAUCACAUUAAUAAUAUGAUGGUUAUCAGUUCGAUUAUGAUAGUUCUCU
rnacentral:tRNA from 1 species